rnacentral:rRNA from 1 species
CGAACGCUGGCGGCGUGCUUCACACAUGCAAGUCGAACGGUGAAGCGCCUUCCUUUUUGGUGGGUGUGGAUGAGUGGCGAACGGGUGAGUAACACGUGAGUAACCUGCCCCCUUCUUCUGGAUAACCGCAUGAAAGUGUGGCUAAUACGGGAUAUUCUGGGUCUGUCGCAUGAUGGGUCUGGGAAAGAUAUUGUUUCGGUGGGGGAUGGGCUCGCGGCCUAUCAGCUUGUUGGUGGGGUGAUGGCCUACCAAGGCGGUGACGGGUAGCCGGCCUGAGAGGGUGGACGGUCACACUGGGACUGAGACACGGACCAGACUCCUACGGGAGGCAGCAGUGGGGAAUAUUGCACAAUGGGCGCAAGCCUGAUGCAGCGACGCCGCGUGAGGGAUGGAGGCCUUCGGGUUGUGAACCUCUUUCGCCAGUGAAGCAGGCCUGCCUCGUUUGUGGGUGGGUUGACGGUAGCUGGAGAAGAAGCGCCGGCUAACUACGUG